CAAAAUUUUUCUCAACAGACAAUUCAGCUCUUACGGGAUUUUGCAGCCGCUGUGAAUUUAUCUAGCUAUAUUCCAGAGGACCUAUAAAAACUUUCUUGCACCAAAGGAUUUUUUUGGAAGACAAAUAAAGGAGAAAGUAUUAAGGAAAUACAGAUAUUGAAUUGCAAUACAACCAAUCAGAUGAGAGAGAUCCUGGCUCUGCUUGCACACAUGAGAUAUGUCAGUGAUAUUGAAUAAGGACACUAGUGCUCCAGAAUAAGGACACUAGUGACAUCAGGUCGCAGUCUGUCACCCAUGGGAAACCAGCUUUGAGGCAAAGUGACAACUAACAUAGAAAAGGAAGAAAUCAGCCAAAAAAAGAAAACCUGGACAGGAAAUAACGUGGCAAAUGUAAUUUAAAAAUUAAAAAAUGAAAAAAUGUUUU